rnacentral:rRNA from 1 species
CCAUGAAGCUGGAUUCGCUAGUAAUCGCGCAUCAGCCACGGCGCGGUGAAUACGUUCCCGGGCCUUGUACACACCGCCCGUCAAGCCAUGGAAGCCGGGGGUGCCUGAAGUGCGCUGCCGCAAGGAGCGUCCUAGGGUAAAACCGGUGACUGGGGCUAAGUCGUAACAAGGUAGC